rnacentral:rRNA from 1 species
UACAGGGGGGGCAAGCGUUGUUCGGAAUUACUGGGCGUAAAGGGUCUGUAGGUGGCCAACUAAGUCAGACGUGAAAUCCCUCAGCUUAACUGGGGAACUGCGUCUGAUACUGGAUGGCUUGAGUGUGGGAGAGGAAUGCGGAAUUCCAGGUGUAGCGGUGAAAUGCGUAGAUAUCUGGAGGAACACCGGUGGCGAAGGCGGCAUUCUGGACCAUAACUGACACUGAGAGACGAAAGCCAGGGGAGCAAACAGG